UACAUAUUUAUAUUAGAAUCUAAUUAUUAUAUAAAUUUUAUUGGUAUGUUAACCUUUAUUUUUUAAUUCUUUCACUUAAACUAAUAAAUAAUAUAAUAUAACAUCCACAGUUAAAAUGAGUUAAAAUUAUUAAACUAUAUAAUAUUUUAUUAAAAAUAACAAAGUUAACAUAUGUUAACUUUUAUAUCUACAACUAUAUAUAUUAUCUUAUUUUGUAUGCUUUUUUGAACUCACAGCUAUGUAUCUUUUUCGGAUUGUUCUUCAUCGUUUUUUUUUUUGAAAUUAAGAUCCGCUUGAAUAUUACAAAUUUAUGUGUGGAUUUUGAGUUGGGUUCUUCUGAGUCUGGAUGAGUUCGGUUCUGUUGUAUAUGAAUCUAAAAAUAUCUAAAUAACAAAUGUAUCUCAAAUGAGUUCAGAUAUUUGUACCAAAAAUAACCAUAUUACACAAUUUUGUCGAGGUCUUUUUAAUACAAUUAGUUAUAUUACGAAUCAUCUAAAAUAUAUAAAGCUAAUUAUGAAAAACAAAUAUCAAAGUAUAAAAAUGUAAUAUAUGCGCGCAUUAUGUAUACCAAUUCUACUAACACUCCUAUUGCUAUUACAUCCGAAGUAGAACCAGCCUCAAUCUGUGUCUAUUGAUUCAAUUGAACAGAUAAUUUUCAACUCCCAUCCUAAAUAAUAAUACACAUAAACAUUCUCAAAAUUGGUUGUUAUCUCAGAAGCAAAAUUAUAAAGAUUAAAACCCUGAAAAUAUAACCUCAAAUGCCACCAAAUUAAACCUCAGAUAUGGACCUCACUUCAAUCUCAUUCCAGUCUUCUACUUGCUUCUUUAUCACCUUCUUAUCGUUUUUAUCAUAAAUAGCAAGAGGCAGGUCAUCUUGAAACAUACUGAAAUAAAACAUCAAGAUAUAAUUUAGAAAUAAGAUCUUCGCAUUGUUAAUGGAAAUAAGUGUUUUGGAUAUAGUUCUAUUUACUUUUGCUUAAAGUCAAUAGCUUUUUGCAUAGUUGGGUUGCGAGUCACAACAGAAGCAUCAAAUGCAUUGGUAAUUUUUAUAGAUCCUAAUUGGCAUGAAAGGCACAUUUUAUAUACUGAUAUAAAACUAGUUUUCGAAAUCAUUUUUAUUGACGGUUUAAUACCUCUGAAAAUGCUACUUUUAGGAAAAGGAAUCAAACAUAUUAACAUUUGAUCAUUUCCUGAUUCAAUGUGAGGUUCAAAUUGUUCAAACAUAUUUUCUCCAUAGGCAACAUGUAUAACAUCAAAACCACUACUCGGUAUCAUAAAGUAAAUAUAGUUGUACUAGGAUUAUUGUUUAAAAUUUUAUCACGUUUCUAGUAAAAUCAGAACAAACUCACUUAGUGUCACACAUCCGAAUUGAAGUAUAUUUGAGUCUUUGUCAUGAACUUUCACGGUUUGAACUCUUCCAAGUUCAAACACUUCACCAAUGAUAUUUAAAAAAACAUAAACUAGAUCAAAGAGUAUACAAAAUGAAAUUAUCACCAACAGAAACACACUAUGGUAUAUUUAAAAUGUGUAUAAUUUCAAUUCAUACCAAUUAGGAGGUACGUUUUCAGUUUUCCAUUACCAAAAUCAUCAUAACUCGCUAGCGUAAAAAAUGAUUGUCAUCAUGAUAAUCGGUUUUGGCAUAAAUUGUGUCACCAAUGAUAGUCAUUUUGUAUUGGGAAGUUGUUCGAUAUUGAUCUCCAGCAGCCGUAACUGUAAAAUUCUCAAUGAAUCUCCAUUCUCCAAUAGGGAGGUUACGUUGCGCACGAUACAUCUGGUUUAUUUUUGCAAAAGCAUGAAGUUUUCCACCCUAAUCACACACAAAAAUUGAUAUAAAUAUUUUUGGUGGUAAACAUCAAGAAAUCUAUAUAGAUAUAAAAUUACAACAAUAUUACAAUAGUUAAUUAAUUAAUGUUAUGAAAUUUAUGAUCAGGAAAUGUUUGUUUGUGCAAUUCUAAAAGCAAAUGAUGAAUGGAUUUGUUAGAAUUUUGAUGAGGAGCACAUUGCUGACAAAUUGGAUUAUAUAGAAUUUUGAUGAUCUUCUAACUGAUAAACAUUUGUCAUUUGUUGUUGCUAGAAGGUGAUCAAAUGAUGUUAUUGGAUAAAGGUUGAGGGAGAAAUCGGAUGAUUUGAUAAUGCACUUUCAUAUGAAACUCAAGGUAUGCAGAAACAUGCUCAAACCAGAUUAAUAAAUUAGCUCCGGUUAUAAGGAAGCGUUGGAUAUUUGUAAUUUUGAAUGAGAAAUACCCAAGGAUAGCACUAAAAAAUUUUUGGUCACAAAUAUAGAUUCUAAGAAUCAAAAUAACCAAAAUGUUUCAUUAAAGAGGUAAAUAUACAUUUAUACCCUAGGGUUAACUAAUCCAAACCUUAAGGUUUAGAGUUAAGGGGUGGAGAUUUGGGAUUGAGUUUAAAAUUUUAUAAAAUAAAAAAUAAAUAUUAAAAAUUUGAAAAUAAAAAUUUUAAAAAUAGUUUCAAAAAGUAUUUUCGAAUUACAAAAAGAAAUUCUGAAAAAAAAAUUCAAAAAAAAUUCAAAAAAAAAGAAAAAUUUAUAAAAAAGUUUGAAUAUGAAAAAAUAUAUUCUAAAACUAUAAAAAAAAUUUGUUUUUUUUUUAUUUUUUUUUAUUUUUUAUAUCUUGGGUAUUAUGGUCUUUUUACCUAUUAAAUGAAACAUUUUGGUCAUUUUCCUUCUUGUGGUCUACUUUUGUGCGUCUAUUUAUGAGAAUUGCCCUAAAUUAUUUUAGAUCAAAUAUUUAGAUAGGGAAUCAAUAAUUAUUUUUAGUAUUUGUGGUGUUUUUUUUAACGUCUGAUUAAUUAUGCUAUUACAACGAGGAGAAAUAUUACAUAGACGAUUCUAUAGCCGACAAUUCUACCAUCAUAUGAGAAUGCACGUCUGACUGCAUCACUCCGAGCCGCCCUAUGAGAUCCUUGUUCGAUGAUACACCCUUGCACUAUGUUGAAGACCUCUUGUAACCUUUUUUUCUCUAUGAUCUGCAUAAUUUGCGUUUUCUGGGGUUUGAACCCCAUACCUCCUGGUGUAGAAUCAUUAAUGAACCCUUAGUUAAACCCUGGACUAAGGAGUUUCCACAAGUAUUUUUGGUGUUUUAAGUAUACUUUUACUAUUGAUCAUUUGUAUAUAUUUUCAAGUAUUUAAACCACCUUAAAAGUAUCAUAUAUAUUCAGAUGUUUUUAUAUAUAAUAAAUCUAAAAAUAAUUAAUAUAUAUAAGUAUAUAAAUCUAUUUCACAUACAUUCGGGUAUCCAAUAUACUUCGGUUCGGAUUGGAUUCGGUUCUCCAAAAACUAAAAUUUUGAAUAAUUCAGAUAUUUAAUCAAUUUUAGUUUGGGUUUGAUACUAUUCUUUCGGAUCAAGAUCGGUUCUUCAGAUUCGGGUAUUUUGUCUAACUCUUAUAUUAUUGACAUAAAAAACAAAUAAAAACAUAUUUUUGAAAAUAUACCCUUGCCGGUGCGCGGAUCAAAUUCUAGUUAUUAUUAUGUUACAGGUCAUGAAUCAGUAUAUUUUUUUUUUGGUAAAAAUGAAUCAAAAUAAUUCCGUAACAGAAACAAAACAUAUUGCUGAAAAAAAAAAACAUCUAAUAACUUAUGUCAAUUUUCUUUUUCUAUACAAUUUUCCACAGUUAUUUUUGUUCUCCUGUUGUUGAUCUUGAAGCUGAGUUUGUGGUGAAAAAAAAAAA